rnacentral:rRNA from 1 species
UACGUAGGCAGCGAGCGUUGUUCGGAGUUACUGGGCGUAAAGAGUGCGUAGGCGGUGUUCCAAGUCUGUUGUGAAAUCUCCCGGCUCAACUGGGAGGGUGCGGCGGAAACUGGGACGCUGGAGUACGGGAGAGGUAAGCGGAAUUCCUGGUGUAGCGGUGAAAUGCGUAGAUAUCAGGAGGGAACACCUGCGGUGUAGACGGCUUUCUGGACCGUAACUGGACGCUGAGACACGAAAGCGUGGGUAGCAAACAGG